GAUGAACGCUAGCGGCAGGCUUAAUACAUGCAAGUCGUGGGGCAGCAUGAGUAGCAAUACUUGAUGGCGACCGGCAAACGGGUGAGGAACACGUACACAACCUUCCUUCAAGCGGGGAAUAGCCCAGAGAAAUUUGGAUUAAUACCCCAUAAUAUAUUUGAUAAGGCAUCUUAUUAAUAUUAAAGCUUCGGCACUUGAUGAUGGGUGUGCGGCUGAUUAGAUAGUUGGCGGGUAACGGCCCACCAAGUCUACGAUCAGUAGCUGAUGUGAGAGCAUGAUCAGCCACACGGGCACUGAGACACGGGCCCGACUCCUACGGGAGGCAGCAGUAAGGAAUAUUGGACAAUGGACGAAAGUCUGAUCCAGCCAUGCCGCGUGAAAGGAUUAAAGGUCCUCUGGAUUGUAAACUUCUUUAUAUGGGACGAAAAAAGGGCAUUCUUGUUCACUUGACGGUACCAUAUGAAUAAGCACCGGCUAAACUCCGUGCCAG
rnacentral:rRNA from 1 species